GGUCGGUAUAGGUAACCUGUCCAAUCUACCAUGUAAUGAAGAUGGUCGGUAUAGGUAACCGGUCCUAUCUACCAUGUAACGAAGAUGGUCGGUAUAGGUAACCUGUCCAAUCUACUAUGUAACGAAGAUGGUCGGUAUAGGUAACCUGUCCAAUCUACCAUGUAAUGAAGAUGGUCGGUAUAGGUAACCGGUCCAAUCUACCAUGUAAUGAAGAUGGUCGGUAUAGGUAACCUGUCCAAUCUAACAUGUAAUGAUGAUGGUCAGCAUCCGGUCGAGGUGACCAUGUAUCUGCAUCUUAUUGCAUAACUAUUUGCUAGACACAGAGAGCAUAAUGUUAGAUUGAGUUACAAUUAAUGACUUUCCAGCCAUAGAUCACCCCAAUAUAAUCCCGUAUAAUAAGCUCAUCCACAGGCAGUGAAUACAUUGCCUACAGUAUACCGUCAUGUACCUAGAGUUAGG